AGCACUUCCAAGAGCUGGAAGAAGGUGGAAGAGCUGCUGGCUUCCCGGCAGCACAGACGAGCAGUGGCCCUGGGAAGACCCACCGGUCGCAGCGCCCCCCGGUGCUCUCUUCGGCCUCCCGGUGGAGUCGGCUUUUGAAGCGGAGGAAUUACCGGGGUCUCACCUGAAGAAGAGAGCUGAGACCAGACCAAAUUCAUUGCACGGCUGAGACCCCAUAGAGCCCCCCUGGGGCGUUCUGCCAUGGUGGUACCCCAGCACCCAGCUCCCGAUUGCUGCAUCUCCCAGCUCCCAAGGAUGCUCAGAUCCCCUGGGAGCCCCAAAAAACCCAUGUACCAUGCCGGCGCAGUUCAGCAGCGAGGGCAGCGCACUGUCAGGGAUCUAUCUGGCUGCCUUCCCCCAGGCUUCCCCCUUGGUUGUGUGUGAAACACUCGACGGAGGCCGGCUGGGGAAGGGGUGCUGCCAUGUGGGAGUCCCCUGUCCUCUCCCUCCUCCUCUCCCUCCGGCCCUCCCCGCUCCAUGACUGUCACUGCGUCCCCUCCCCUGUGCUGUGACAGGAGCAGGAGCUGCUCUUUUAUUAAACACUUUAUUUUC
rnacentral:lncRNA from 1 species